rnacentral:rRNA from 1 species
GACGGAGGGUGCUAGCGUUGUUCGGAAUUACUGGGCGUAAAGGGUGCGUAGGCGGCCGGGUAAGUCUGAUGUGAAAUCUCACAGCUUAACUGUGAAACUGCAUUGGAUACUAUCCGGCUCGAGGAAUGGAGGGGAGACUGGAAUACUUGGUGUAGCAGUGAAGUGCGUAGAUAUCAAGUGGAACACCAGUGGCGAAGGCGAGUCUCUGGACAUCUCCUGACGCUGAGGCACGAAAGCCAGGGGAGCAAACGGG